CCUGUUGGUCGAGGCUGUGGUGUGAUAUUGAAAGGACCCAGAGGCAUCCAUCUGCCUGUCUCUCAAGCUUUUCGUCAUCUUCCUACUGAGAGUCCUGGGAGCACCUUGCCACCAUGACCUCACAUCGCCAUUUGUCCUUGGAACACUGGGACUCCCUCCUCUAAAACUGCUCCUAUCCUGACAUUCUGAACUUGGACGUGAGUUUUUGCCUUCCCUCUGCCACUGUCCUCCCAGAGACCUUGGGCUCCCAGUCCUUCUCCUAGGCCCCAGGUUCUCCCCCAACUCCCCUUUUCAACUAGAACCUUCUGGCCCCCAAGGCUCCUGGACCCUCAAGGUUCUCAUACACCAACUAAAACAUCCCACAGUUGUGAAAACAAAGCCUCCAAAUCAUGAGGAAAAGACAAUUGCUAUGAAUAUAGAUUUUGAUGCUUAACAUUUGUAUCUGCUCACUGACCAGUCACACCCAAAAUAUUUCAGCACAUCAACCCCAGUCUGUCAGGGUGGAGUGGAGGGAAGGUGGGAGGGGAGGCUGGAGAAGGAGGGGAUAUAUGUAUACUUACAGCUGAUUCACGUCACUGUACAGCAGAAACCAACAGAAGACUGUAAAGCAAUUAUCCAUUUUUUAAAAAAAUGAAUAAAGUAAAAAGCCAAAACAAACAAACCAACCUGAGUCUUUCUUGUCCAUUUUGAAGACGCCUAUCUGAAUCAUGUACAGAGCACACCAAGGAGUCAGACCCAUCCUAAAAUCAACAAGCUCCUUCCUGUCAAAAUAUUGCCAAACCACAAUAAUGGUUUUGCACAAAGCAAAGAAUAUCUUUGAUAUAGGGCGGGGUUGGGCACACUUCAGAAGCUGGAGUUUCCAGGAGAGGAGGCCUCCUAAGGUCAGACCACCAGACCGUGGGCCUGCUUCUCUCCCUCCCUGUGCCCACCCUGGAGGCUCCCAACUGCCAACAGGGGCCUCCUGGGCUCCCAGUUCUCAGCUCCUGCCAUUGGCAUUUUCACCCCUGCAGCAUGACGCUGGGGAGAACGCACCACGCGCUGUGGACCCGACCAAAACUCCAGCCCAUUCCCCUCUGCAUAGCUACCUGGCUAUCCUGCCAGGUACCCAAGAGCCCAGUGGGUACCAGGCAGAGCUCCCCAACCACAGAGGGUGGAGAGCUGGCCUGUCAAAUAAAGGGUGCAACGGGGAGCAAGAAGUUGGGGGGCCUCACAGGCAACUCCCGACCCCGUCUAGCAGAGACCCUUCUCACUUCAGAGUGGGAGAGAGAGCCCGCUUGGCCUGUGACCCCCGAACAAACCUGGAACAGCAUCUUUCUCUGUGGAGGCUUUGGAGCACGCGUCUUAGGGGCAGCUAUGCAAGUUCCAAUGUUCCCGGGGGGUUGGGGGUGCAGGAGAGGCCCUCUAAGACUCCCCUUCACCCCUUUACAGGACGUAACCUGCGGCCUGACGAUGGGCGGCGACCCCCGAGGUCCUUUUGUUGGCCAAGCCACAGACUCAGCCAGGCUGCUUGUUGUUCAGAGUCCCCGGGGAACUCCGUAAGGGCCUCUGUCCCCAUACAAUGCCCUCGGGGGCCGGGGGGUGGUCCUCAGGCUCUCCCGGGGGUUCUCUUGGCAGGAGGAAAAUCUGGCCAUGACCCCGUGACCAGGCAGGGAGUUCACAGUUCCAGCCCGCCCGCCUCCCUUCAAGGCCAAUCCCUACUCACUUCCGGCUUCUUAUCCGGGAACUUUCCCUCCAAGGCCCAGGCCUCCCAGGCUCCCUAGCUGCUCUGCGUCCUCCCUCCCAUCUCCUGGAACCCAGAGGAAAUUCAAGCCAGCCUGGCCUGCUGGAUCACCCCUCACCUGCCUCCCGUCCUCCAUUCCAGGGGCCACUUCCGCUUCCUGGGAGGUGGGGGGGCAUCUGACGAGACUCAGCUUCCUGGGAGGUGGGGGGCGUCUGACGAGACUCACGGGGCUCUGGACCCAAAUUCCCAAACACCUGCACCUGGGCGCCCUUAACUAGCAAGCUCCAGCUGACAUCCUCUCUCCCCUAAACUUCUCCAUCGCUUUCUAGCUGGGCUACAGCCCCCUCCCCCACCAUCUGCUCGUCACCCAACGGGAAAUUUCGGGGUCACUGUAGCCUCCUCCCACUCCUCCACUCCCCAAGCACCUCCUGCCAACCUCCUCCUGAAUCUCGUCUAGAUCUGCCCGCUUACUCUGUUCGGGUCCUUGCCCUCUGCCUCCUGCCCUCUUUCCGUGGUGUCCUAACUGGGGUCCCUGCCUCAUCUUUUUCUUCAUCUGGUCUUUGCAUCCUACCACAGGUCAGAUCUGGUCAUAUUCUUCCUGAUUUUUUUUUUUUUUUUUUAAUAACUGGAAGGCCUUUUGAUUAAGAUCCAAGUGCCAACCCAGCAUUCAAAGCCGUGUUCUCUCUGACUCCUGUUUGCCUUUCUAGCCUCGUCUGACUGGCUGUGCCGACCACUCACCCCACGUCUUGGCAUCGUCCCUGGUGGUGCACCAAGCAUCUGGAACUAACCUAUAAAGCAUUUUUGCCCAAACUGUUUAACCCAAAUGUUAUCAAUCCUUUAGACCUAAUUUCCAGAAAGAGUAGGGGGAGAAGGUCACCUGGCAACCAUGCGGUAAAUCUAGAAAGAGAAGCAAACAGUUUACACCAACAACUGGCCUGAUCACUUUAAAAAACCAGUGUCAUGGGGGGUUGGGACAAGGAGCAGGGAGAACAGAACACUGUUGGAAAUUGAAACAGUAAAGAAACAUAAUCCACCAAUGCCAUGUGAUCUUUCAUUGGAUGUUGGUCUGAAAAAACACUAUAAAAGACAUUUUGGAGAUGGACAUUUGAUUACAGACUAUCAGCUGAUGUUAGGGAAUUUUUGUUAAUUCUUACUAAUUGUGUUUGGUGUGAUGAUGAGUUUUUUGAUUAUGUAUAAAAUUAUUUUUCUGACUGUCUAUGUUGAAGAAUUCAACGUGAAUUGCCACAGUCUCUGUAGUUCAUUUUGCAGUGUUUCAGAAAAAAUAUAUAUAUAUUCAUAUAUAAAGUCAAUAUGACCAAAUACUAGCAGUUAUGAGCCUAGGCAGGGAAUAGAGAUGUUCAUUGUACCGGUCUAGCAAUUUUUCUGCUUGUUUUUAAAAUGUCAUAAUAAAAAGUUACAAGCACCUGGAGGGUGGGGGGAGCUGAGACCCUAGCAUGUGUUCUGUUCUGUAAUCUCCCAAUCAAAAUAUAUAAAACAUCUUGUCUCCUUGAGGGGAGGGGGAGCGAUUCCUCCUCCAAGUGAAAGGACUCAGCUGCCUGGCAUUCAGAAGCAAUGGCACGUGCUUGCUUUGUAGCAGAAACUGUCCCCACAACUUCAGCAAACUGCCUGAGGGCAGACUCGCUUUCCAGAAGAGCUUGCAUCUUUCUCUGGGGAUAA
ensembl:lncRNA